CCUACGGGUGGCUGCAGUGGGGAAUAUUGGACAAUGGGGGGAACCCUGAUCCAGCCAUGCCGCGUGUGUGAAGAAGGCCCUCGGGUUGUAAAGCACUUUCAGUGAGGAAGAACGCCUGGUGGUUAAUACCCAUCAGGAAAGACAUCACUCACAGAAGAAGCACCGGCUAACUCCGUGCCAGCAGCCGCGGUAAUACGGAGGGUGCGAGCGUUAAUCGGAAUUACUGGGCGUAAAGCGCGCGUAGGUGGCUUGAUAAGCCGGUUGUGAAAGCCCCGGGCUCAACCUGGGAACGGCAUCCGGAACUGUCAAGCUAGAGUGCAGGAGAGGAAGGUAGAAUUCCCGGUGUAGCGGUGAAAUGCGUAGAGAUCGGGAGGAAUACCAGUGGCGAAGGCGGCCUUCUGGAUUGACACUGACACUGAGGUGCGAAAGCGUGGGUAGCAAACAGGAUUAGAUACCCGAGUAGUC
rnacentral:rRNA from 1 species